GUAAUAGCCCAGUGGUAGAGCAUGUGCUUAGCAUGCACAAGGUCCUGGAUCCAAUCCCCAGUAGUACA
rnacentral:tRNA from 1 species